GAUUGAAGGCUGAGGCGGUGUAGAGGAGGAUUGAACGAAGAUACAACUCGAAGGUGAUGCCAAGACAGUUUAGAGAGGGCGAUCUGGUGAUGAGGAAGGCCCACCAGUACGAGAUGGAGAAUAAACUGUCACCCAAGUGGACUGGACCGUUCAGAGUAACCGAGGCGCUCGGGAACGGCGCCUACCGCUUAGAGACGCUGGAAGGAGGGGCGAUUCCUCGCACCUGGAACGCCACACACCUGAAGUUGUACUAUAGUUAAGAGCCUUGUAAGUAAAGACAAACACAAAGUUAUAUUACAAUGUCUCUGAUGAAACAGUUUGAAGGGGGCACUCUUUUUUCCCUAAGGAGGGUUUUUA
rnacentral:lncRNA from 1 species